CCUACGGGAGGCAGCAGGGAUGAAUAUUGGACAAUGGGCGCAAGCCUGAUCCAGCCAUGCCGCGUGCAGGAAGACGGUCCUAUGGAUUGUAAACUGCUUUUAUACAGGAAGAAACACCUCUACGUGUAGAGACUUGACGGUACUGUAUGAAUAAGCAUCGGCUAACUCCGUGCCAGCAGCCGCGGUAAUACGGAGGAUGCAAGCGUUAUCCGGAAUCAUUGGGUUUAAAGGGUCCGUAGGCGGUUUAAUAAGUCAGUGGUGAAAGCCCAUCGCUCAACGAUGGAACGGCCAUUGAUACUGUUAAACUUGAAUUAUUAGGAAGUAACUAGAAUAUGUAGUGUAGCGGUGAAAUGCUUAGAGAUUACAUGGAAUACCAAUUGCGAAGGCAGGUUACUACUAGUAUAUUGACGCUGAUGGACGAAAGCGUGGGGAGCGAACAGGAUUAGAUACCCUGGUAGUCCACGCCGUAAACGAUGGAUACUAGCUGUUCGGAGCAAUCUGAGUGGCUAAGCGAAAGUGAUAAGUAUCCCACCUGGGGAGUACGUUCGCAAGAAUGAAACUUAAAGAGUAGUAGACGUGAGAGAGCGACGAGACACAGGGAGGUUAGNG
rnacentral:rRNA from 1 species